CCUACGGGGCGCAGCAGUGGGGAAUAUUGCACAAUGGGGGAAACCCUGAUGCAGCGACGCCGCGUGAGUGAAGAAGUAUCUCGGUACGUAAAGCUCUAUCAGCAGGGAAGAAAAUGACGGUACCUGACUAAGAAGCCCCGGCUAACUACGUGCCAGCAGCCGCGGUAAUACGUAGGGGGCAAGCGUUAUCCGGAUUUACUGGGUGUAAAGGGAGCGUAGACGGCAGCACAAGUCUGGAGUGAAAUCCCGGGGCUUAACCCCGGAACUGCUUUGGAAACUGUGCGGCUGGAGUGCAGGAGGGGUAAGCGGAAGUCCUAGUGUAGCGGUGAAAUGCGUAGAUAUCGGGAGGAACACCAGUGGCGAAGGCGGUUUACUGGACCACAACUGACGCUGAGACACGAAAGCGUGGGGAGCAAACAGGAUUAGAUACCCCGGUAGUC
rnacentral:rRNA from 1 species